GGAACGUUGGCUGGCUCGAGG
rnacentral:miRNA from 1 species